rnacentral:tRNA from 1 species
UAGCUCAGUCAGUUGAGCGUGGCACUAACAACGCCAAGGUCGUGGGUUCGAUUCCCGU